UGAGGCCAGUACAGAGACUUUGAUUGAGCGUGCUCCCUCACACAGUGGGCCUUUAAGGCCUAGGCCUCCCUCACACAGUAGGCCUAUGAAGCUAAGGGAGCCUGAUUAGACCAGUACAGAGGACUUAGACUGGCCACGGCCUAACCAGAUCAUCCACCCCCUCCUCACAGCUUCGGCCCGUUUUCCCAGGAUCGUCCUUUGCCCCAACUCAUCGCGUGAAGGCCGGGACCACACCAACCGAGGUGAAACAGACUAAAUUGGGAAGGUGAAAAGAAAACCCAGAAGGUGACAAUGGCAAACCAUUUUUAUACUACUACCAAGCAAAAGAACAGACGGAGCCAAUGAAUGUAUUUCUACUGAGCAGAUCAAAAGGAUGUUAAAGAGCAAAGCAAAGGAAGAUGGAUCUUUUUUUUUUUUUUGUGAAGCCUUGACAAAGCUUUCAGCUACACAGUCCCCAAUGUUUAAUUUUAUAGCACUGUUUAUACUUUCUGGAAUGAAAUUCCUGCUGUUUACAUUGUACAGGGGCUUUUCUUUGGUAAAGGUAGAUCUUUAUCUACCAUCCAGUUCCUAAGAAGAGUCUGUUUUGAUAUAUUAAGCUGGAUGUUUUCUCUGUAUAAACAGAAUGCUGGUUCUUUCUGCUUUUAAAAAAUGAAAUUAACAAUAAAAACAUAAAACUGGCACAAA